rnacentral:rRNA from 1 species
AUGGGUGAGCCGCCGAGCCGAGAGGGAUCCUAUUCCUCCUUCCCCAACUCCGACGACGACGAGCCGGAGACCUCUGGAUCGGAACGAGGAGCGGGAGGAGGAGGAGAGGAUGCUCAUCGCCCGCUGCCUCUGCGCCAGCAGCUCGUGGGGGCCUGCCGCGCCGACGACCGUCUCAGGCCUCUCCUCACCCUCAACGUCUCAUGCUCCGCCGCCGAGAACCGCUUCAUUUCUCACCUCUCUCAGCACUUUGAGGUCUCGGAGGUGGGCAUGCUGGCAAGGUGUCUCUGCGUUCCCCUCGUCUCGCUGCGCGUCGGCAAGGUCGACCGCCACGGUCCCCUCCUCUGCCCAACAACCAUCAGAGGGAAGCUUAGCCUUGGCCUUCUGCCUUCAUCGAGCAUGCGCCUUACCUUCUCCGGUGACGAUGGUUGUUCAGAGGAAUUGGCUCUGUUGAACGAUGGCCUAGAAGUUUCAGAAGUUGCGAUUGAAGAAAUAUCAGCUGAUAAUUCUGGACGUUCUUUCCUUAUCAGGAUUUCAGAAUCUAAAAGAUUGUACUACUGGUGCGCUGAAAAGUCGAAGGAAUGUGGAAUGGAGCUUCUUGCAAAGAUGAAAAAUCUACUUCAGGGCAGGCCAACCCUCUCUGAUCUCACAGGCAUCUCCAAUUCCCGACUUGAUGCUUUUGUUACUAAUUUACAUGCUUAUCUUCUUGCACCAAGUAUUGGAGAUGCUAAAUUGUUGGGAUCAUCUACUGACUUCCUCAGUAAUUCAAGCUCACAAGGGCAACAUUUACAGCCCCCAUCAGUCGUUUCCAGGUCUUCAAGGUCUCGCACCUCUGCCGCUAAUGCAACAAAAGCAAGCUUGAUCUAUCAAGCCAGUCUGAGUCCCAGAUCCAGCACUUUUAAAGAUGGGGUUCCAAGGACCUCUUGUGCAAAGGUUGUUGGGAGAGAGAAGCUGAAGCGGCGUGGGGACUGGUUGGGCCCAUCAACUGCUCUGAUCGAUGCAAAUCCUUUGAUAGCAAAGAGUGUUAACCCUGAUUCAACCAGUGAGGUGUGUGAUAGGGAGUGUUCAAAAAACAGUGUCACUCCCGCUUCUUCAUUAGACUUGCCUCUUUCAUUUCCCUUGCUGCCACCUCUUUAUCCACUCCCAGAGGGUUCUUCAGAGAAUCCAUUUAAGCCUUACUAUUGCUGGUGUCCGCCAUGCCCAUCGUCACUGCAGUACAGUGUAACCCCUCUGCAUAUGCCAGUUACAUCUGUAGAACCAUUUCCCCAGUCACCUUUGGGCCCGCUGGUAUCAAAUGAAGUAUCAUCUGUCUCGUCAUUUUCUGCAAAGUUGGAUACAACUAAUUCACCUUCACUUAAUCUUCCAUCGAUACUGCACGAUCCUUCACUUCACCUCCAGCUUCCUACUUCAAUUGUUCCCCUGCAUGGUUCUAUGGUUUCAACAUAUCCGUUACUUCAUCUGCCGUUUCCCACUUCACCUCUUGUUCCUGUACAUGGUUCGCAGGUUCCAACAUUUCCGUUGCUUCACCUGCCACUUCCUACUUCACCAUUUGUUUCAUUGCAUAGCUCACAGGUUCCAACAUUUACACCAUUGAUGUCUGAUCCUAUUGUGCAUGUCCCAGUCAUUGAUAUGUGUUCCUCCGGUCAGGCUUAUUUGGUGAGUUGUGGUCCUUCUAUAACUUCACCUGUUCCCCUGCUCCCUAGCUUGAAGCCUCUGAUUCCAGAAACCGAAUCGUUGGUUGAGAGGAGUGCUAGGGAAACACUAAUGAGGCUUUUAGCUUCGACACCACCAUCAAGCAACCCCCAGCUAGUCAACAUUCUCCCUGCAGUCCUUACUGAUGUGCCUGAAAAUAUUUCUCGAUCUCCUAAUGUGAACAUGCAUGUUGGUGUCCAUCGCAACGACCUACUUCUUAGCUCAUCUUGGGGUGCUAAUGUGAUUGGAAGUGGGAUGGCAGCCAUGGAGCUGCACUCGGAGGAUGAGGUUUCCAGUGGGCAUGAUGCUCAUGCUAUGGUUGCGUUUACGGAAUUUGAUGAUAUCAAUGGAGACCGUGAUCAGCCCCAUUUCCGGAGGAUGUAG